UUUUUUUAAGGGCCGCGGUAAUUUGACUGUGCAAAGGUAGCAUAAUAGUUAGUUUUUUAAUUGGAAUCUUGUAUGAAUGGUUGAACAAAAGAAAUACUGUCUCUGUAAUUAUUAUUGAAUUUAACUUUUAAGUGAAAAGGCUUAAAUUAUUUAAAAAGACGAUAAGACCCUAUAAAACUUUAUAAGUGAAACUACUUAAUUAAAUUAAUUAAUAAAAUUUUAGUAGUUUAAUUAUUUUGUUGGGGAGACAAUAUUAUAAUUUAAAAUAACUGUAAAUAAGUAAUACAAAUAUUAUUGUUUAGAGAAAAUAAGAGAUCCUAAAUAAAGAUUAAUAGUUUAAGUUACUUUAGGGAUAACAGCGUUAUUCUUUUUGAGAGUUCAUAUCGAAAAAAGAGAUUGCGACCUCGAUGUUGAAUUAAAAUUUCUAGGUGAUUGCAGAAGUUGCCUAAGAAAGUCUGUUCGACUUUUAAAUUUUUACAUGAUUUGAGUUCAAACCGGCGUGAGCCAGGUUGGUUUCUAUCUUUUAAUAUUAAAAAAAUUAUUUUAGUACGAAAGGAUUAAAUAAUUAAAUUUUUUUUAUGGUUGGAAAAGAAAGUCGUUUUGGCAGAAGAUAUGCGUAAGA
rnacentral:rRNA from 1 species